GAUGAACGCUGGCGGCGUGCCUAAUACAUGCAAGUCGAGCGAACGGACGAGAAGCUUGCUUCUCUGAUGUUAGCGGCGGACGGGUGAGUAACACGUGGAUAACCUACCUAUAAGACUGGGAUAACUUCGGGAAACCGGAGCUAAUACCGGAUAAUAUUUUGAACCGCAUGGUUCAAAAGUGAAAGACGGUCUUGCUGUCACUUAUAGAUGGAUCCGCGCUGCAUUAGCUAGUUGGUAAGGUAACGGCUUACCAAGGCAACGAUGCAUAGCCGACCUGAGAGGGUGAUCGGCCACACUGGAACUGAGACACGGUCCAGACUCCUACGGGAGGCAGCAGUAGGGAAUCUUCCGCAAUGGGCCAAAACCUGACGGAGCAACGCCGCGUGAGUGAUGAAGGUCUUCGGAACGUAAAACUCUGUUAUUAGGGAAGAACAUAUGUGUAAGUAACUGUGCACAUCUUGACGGUACCUAAUCAGAAAGCCACGGCUAACUACGUG
rnacentral:rRNA from 1 species